CACACAGCGCCACAAGUGGCAACCACAAUUAUUGGGCCUAAAGCGUCCGUAGCCGGUUCUGUAAGUCUUUUGUGAAAUCGUUGUGCUUAACAUAACGGUGUGCAAAAGAUACUGCAAGACUUGGAACUGGGAAGGGCCAGAGGUAUUCAAAGGGGAGCGGUAAAAUGUUAUAAUCCUUUGAAGACCACCUGUGGCGAAAGCGUCUGGCUAGAACAGCUUCGACGGUGAGGGACGAAAGCCAGGGGAGCAAAACGGAUUAGAUACCCGAGUAGUCCUGGCUGUAAACGCUGCGAGCAAGGUGUCGCGUAUUCUUCGUGAAUGCGCGGUGUCGAAGAGAAGUCAUUAAGCUCGCCGCCUGGGAAGUAUGGUCGCAAGGCUGAAACUUAAAGGAAUUGGCGGGGGAGCACCACAAGGGGUGCGGCGUGCGGUUUAAUCCAAUUCAACACGGAGAAUCUCACCAGGAGCGACGGCAAGAUGAAGGUCAGUCUGAAGGGCUUACCAGAUGAGCCGAGAGGUAGUGCAUGGCCGUCGUCAGCUCGUGCCGUAAGGUGUCCUGCUAAGCCAGGCAACGAGCGAGACCUGUAUCCACAAUUGCUAACGACUCUUUUAGGAGAAUCGAGCACAUUGUGGAGACUGCCUUGGAAACAAGGAGGAAGGCGCAGGCUACGGUAGGUCUGUAUGCUCCGAAUCUUCUGGGCUACACGCGCGCAACAAUGGUAAGGACAAUGUGAUGCAACUCUGAAAAGAGAAGCUAAUCCUCGAAACCUUGCCUUAGUUCAGAUUGAGGAUUGUAACUCAUCCUCAUGACGAUGGAAUCCCUAGUAAUCGGACGUUAUCAGCGUCUGGUGAAUAUGUCCCUGCUCCU
rnacentral:rRNA from 1 species